CAGAACUUGUCUAUACCAGUCAAAGGGGAUUCAGAUAACGGACAAAAGCCACCAGAGCAGGAAGAACUAUCAGCUGCCACUUCUCUGACAUCGGACAUCACCUGAGCAGCAACCAGAAAAACUAUCAGCUACCGCUUUCCUGACACCGGACAUCUCCUUGCAGGAGGAUGGACAGCUGUCUCCUGAGCAGCCUAACAGCAACUCAUCUGAUGAUGGAUUCAUAAGAAUCAGGGUUCCACUUGAACCAACUUUCUUUUUUCUUGAAAAGGAAAGAAUGGGCUAAUCUAAAAAAUAAGAGAUCCCAAAGAAGAUACAAGGGACUACAGUGGACAAAUCUGAUUUCAGACAGACUACGGACAGUGUUUCCAUAUUGUUCCUUUGCU